GAAAGAGAGAGAGAUGGUCUCAAGAAAAAAGUUUUGAAAGCAGAGAUCUGGCGGGGCCUCCACGCUGGCGGACCUCAGGAUAUUCUUUAUGUGGAAACUUGACAAAUUUCAAGGAUUAGAGAAUUCUGGGUGUAAUGUGUCUGCAGCCUUCCUGGGCCAGAGUUCAAAGCAUUCUCCUGUAAGAGAAGGGAAAAGACAUCAGAGCAUCUGUCCUUGGUGAAAUUUAGGAAGGUGUAAGUUCAAAAGGGUAAGUUAAUAUUUUGGUCUUUGUGUAAAACCUGAC
ensembl:lncRNA